rnacentral:rRNA from 1 species
AUUGAACGCUGGCGGCAGGCUUAACACAUGCAAGUCGAACGAGUGGCGGACGGGUGAGUCAUGCUUGGGAAUCUCGUUUAUGGAGGGGGAUAACUCCGGGAAACUGUAGUAAAUACCGCGUACCAUAGGAUGAGCCCAAGUGGGAUUAGGUAGUUGGUGAGGUAAAGGCUCACCAAGUCGACGAUCUCUAGCUGGUCUGAGAGGAUGACCGGCCACACUGGGACUGAGACACGGCCCAGACUCCUACGGGAGGCAGCAGUGGGGAAUAUUGCGCAAUGGGGGCAACCUGACGCAGCCAUGCCGCGUGAAUGAAGAAGGCCUUCGGGUUGUAAAGUUCUUUCGGUAGCGAGGCGUUAACUACAGAAGAAGCACCGGCUAACUCCGUGCCAGCAGCCGCGGUAAUAC